UACGUAGGGGGCUAGCGUUGUCCGGAAUCAUUGGGCGUAAAGAGCGCGUAGGCGGCUAGAUAAGUCCGGUGUGAAACCUCCAGGCUCAACCUGGAGACGCCACCCGAUACUGCUGUGGCUAGAGUCCGGUAGGGGAGCGUGGAAUUCCUGGUGUAGCGGUGAAAUGCGCAGAUAUCAGGAGGAACACCAGUGGCGAAGGCGGCACUCUGGGCCGGUACUGACGGCUGAGGAGCGAAAGCGUGGGGAGCGAACAGG
rnacentral:rRNA from 1 species